rnacentral:rRNA from 1 species
CAAUAAGCGGAGGAAAAGAAACCAACAGGGAUUGCCUCAGUAACGGCGAGUGAAGCGGCAAAAGCUCAAAUUUGAAAUCUGGCUCCGUCAGGAGUCCGAGUUGUAAUUUGGAGAGGACACUUCGGGUGCGGCCACGGCGUAAGUCCCUUGGAACAGGGCGUCAUAGAGGGUGAGAAUCCCGUCUUGAGCCGCUGAACCGCGCCCAUGCGAAGUUCCUUCGACGAGUCGAGUUGUUUGGGAAUGCAGCUCUAAGUGGGUGGUAAAUUUCAUCUAAAGCUAAAUAUUGGCUGGAGACCGAUAGCGCACAAGUAGAGUGAUCGAAAGGUUAAAAGCACCUUGAAAAGGGAGUUAAAUAGCACGUGAAAUUGUUGAAAGGGAAGCGCUUGCAACCAGACUCGGUCGUGGGGGCUCAGCGGGCAUGCGUGCCCGUGUACUCCCCCAUGUUCGGGCCAGCAUCAGUUUCGGCGGUUGGUUAAAGGCUCAUGGAAUGUAUCGUCCUCCGGGACGUCUUAUAGCCAGGGGCGUAAUGCGGCCAGCCGGGACUGAGGAACGCGCUUCGGCACGGAUGCUGGCGUAAUGGUUGUAAGCGGCCCGUCUUGAAACAC